rnacentral:rRNA from 1 species
AACGAACGCUGGCGGCAGGCUUAACACAUGCAAGUCGAACGCCCCGCAAGGGGAGUGGCAGACGGGUGAGUAACGCGUGGGAACGUGCCCUUCGCUUCGGAAUAGCCUCGGGAAACUGGGAGUAAUACCGAAUACGCCGUAUUGGGAAAGAUUUAUCGGCGAAGGAUCGGCCCGCGUUAGAUUAGGUAGUUGGCGGUGUAAUGGACCACCAAGCCUACGAUCUAUAGCUGGUCUGAGAGGAUGAUCAGCCACACUGGGACUGAGACACGGCCCAGACUCCUACGGGAGGCAGCAGUGGGGAAUCUUGGACAAUGGGCGCAAGCCUGAUCCAGCCAUGCCGCGUGAGUGAAGAAGGCCUUAGGGUUGUAAAACUCUUUCGCCGGAGAAGAUAAUGACGGUAUCCGGAGAAGAAGCCCCGGCUAACUUCGUGCCAGCCGCCGCAGUAACAC